GAGCUGCUGCAUACCCUGAAAAUGAAGACCAGCAGCAGAAGCUCCGGGAGGCUGCAGAGGGGCUGCGUGUGGCCACAAACGCAGCUGCACAAAACGCCAUUAAGAAGAAACUCAUAACAAGACUGGAGAACGCUGCUAAACAAGCUGCUGCCGCUGCAACUCAAACCAUUGCGGCAUCCCAGAAUGCAGCAGCCUCCAACAAGAACACUGUUGCCCACCAACAACUUGUUCAAAGCUGCAGGGCUGUAGCUGAUCAUAUUCCUCAGCUGGUGCAGGGAGUGAGGGGCAGUCAGGGGCAGCCAGAGGAUGGUAGUGCCCAACUUGCCCUCAUCAUUGCCAGUCAGAACUU